UGGCUGGCCCCGUGGAGUCCAUGCUGCCUCGCAUGAUCGGUGCAUCUCCUGAAUCAUUGAACGCCCUGCGGUCUCGGGGGCAGGAGCAGGGUGAGAGAGGUGGUGGAGCUGAGGAUCUGCGGAAGAGGAACUUAGCCUGCAUUAUCCAGGCGGACCCUGAGCACAACCACGUGUGUCCUUGUAAGAGAGGAUGAUGGAGAUGCACAGCCACACGCAGAAGGCAGCGGGGGGGGGGGGGGGGGGGGGGUUGAAGGUGGAGCAGAGACACGUGGCCACGAGCCACGGAAUGCCCAGAGACACCAGGAGCUGGAAAAAGUGAGGAAUGGAUUCUCCCUCGGCCUUCCAGAGGGAUCGUGGCUCUGCCAGUACCUUGAUUUGGGGCUUCUGGCCUCCAGAACUACAAGAGAGUACGUUUCUCUCGCUUUAAGCCACCAAGUUUGUGAUCGAGUGUCACAACAGCAUCAAGAAAUGAAUAGAGCUUCAUACAAAAAGAUCUGCCUGUGCCCGGCGUUUCAUGUGAAUGGAAGCCUACCGCAUGUGGUCGGCGGUGACUGGCUUCGUUCACUUAACAACGUUUUCAAGGUUUGUCCACGUUGUAGCAUGUACCAGUACCUCGUACUUUUUUAUUGGCAAAUAAUGAUCGUAUGAGUCUACUGCAUUUUAUCCAGCAACUGAAGGACAUUUGGCUUGCUUUUACUUUGGGUCAUUAUGAACGAUGCUGCUACGAACAUUUGCGUACAAGUUUUUGCGUGAACGUUAAGUUUUCCUUCUGUUGGGUGGGUGUGUACCUAAGGAGGGCAACUGCUGAGUCACAGAGUAACUCUAAUUAACCUUUUUGAUUAAGAACGGCCAGACUGUUUCCCCAAGUGGCCAGACCGUUUUACAUCCCCACCAGCAACGCACAAGACUUUCAUCACCUCCAACUUUUUGGUUCUAGCCGUCCUAGUGGGGGGUGAAGCUGAUUUGCAUUUUCCUGAUGACCCGUGACCUUAAGCAUCUUUUCUUGUGCUCACUGGCCACGGCUACCUGUUUUUGUAAAUACAGGUGACUGGAACACAGCCACAUCUCCUUGUUUAUACGUUGUUGAUGGCUGCUCUUAUACUCUAGUGGCAGGGUUGAGUAGCUGUUUUGUGUGUGGCUCCUGAAGAAAAGACGGUCAGGUUCUUGACUUUGGGGUAGACAGGGCAGUCAUUUGAACCCGGGAAGGAAGGAAUCCCUGAUGGAUAGUUUGCCUGUCCGGUGCUCUUCCCAGGUAGAGACGAGCACAGAGAAGCUGAAGUGACAGCAGGGCCAGUGGAAUAAAAAGCCGGAGCCUAAGUAAUUCCGACGGUACUUGCCGACGGCCACUGUAGGGAUGGAAUGCCAGGAUCCAACAGGAAACAAGCUUUCGUUUGGAAGGGUUGGUGUCUCGGGAUGGCAUGUCUUACUACCGGAAAACAGGGCCGUGACGCUUCCUGUACAGAUUUUGCCAGCCGAGGCUGUGAUCGGAGGCUAGCUCCCCUCCCCGCCCCCACGAGCACGUCUCCACCUGACUUGGGCACUGUUCACAGGGGGCAAAUCUACAUUUUGUCGCAAGCAAUGCCUAUUAUUCCCAGUGACUUGGAGGCCCUUCUUCCCCGAAGGGGAAGGAAAUGCAUUUAAACACAAGGGAAAACUGCAAGUAACAGGAAGGCUGGCAGAUAUCUCCACCAUCUGGCUCUUCCUCGGGCAAGUUCACCUACUGACGGAGUUUCUCAGUCUGAAACCCUGUCACCAUCUGCAAGGCCCGAUUUCUAGAUGAGCGCUUCAUUGGUCGAAGGCUGAGCAACCCCCUGAAAGGGCUCAAACAACUUUGACAGCUUCCCUCCUUCAUCUCUGACGCAAUCAGCUACUGCGAAUGUGUUCGGUCUGACCUAGUUUUCUUGUCUUUAAAAAGAAAUGGGUGAUUCAUUUGUUGCAGCCUGUUGGGCUGGUCACGGAGAGGGAGCAGUGCCACCGACAUGUAACCCAUUACCACAAAUCGGGGCUGGUCACUGGACUUCUCGGCCUGUCACAGAUGGCUGUCAGUCUUUUCAGACUGGCCCAACCCUUAGCUAUGCCUCCCCUGGUCACCUGCCCAGUGUGGCUGAACUGAGGUCAAAGCUCUGGGGUUGUGCCUACUGCAGAUGAAGACACUAGAAGGCCCAUAGGAUAGUCUUAAACAUCCUAAACAUAGUCCUAACUGCAUGGAAACAAGGACGCAGUGUUAAAAUACCUGGGUCACAGACUCUAUUCUGCCACUUUCUAGGCACACAGUUUUGGCACGCUAUCUUCCAUGGAGCCUUAAGGGCCCCAUUUGUGUAACAGUAAUAAUAAUAUCUACCGUAUAGUAUUGUUUUGAGCAUUAAAGGAAUUGAUGCUUUGUACAAAGAGCCCAGCACAGUGCCAGACCACGCACAGCAUCAGUGCUGAAUGUGUAUGAUACACACGUAACCAUUAGUAGCGAUGUUUGAUUCAUAUAUGACUGUUGGCAUUGAUGUGGGAUACACACAGAGCCACUGGUAAUGACGUGUUGACACACGUAUAAUCGUUAGUACUGAAGAGCUGACCCCCGCCCAGCACCCAGUGGAGACACUGAAUCCAUACAUUUUCCCUUGUCCCUUCUCCAAUUUUCCUCUACAGUAAUGAAUGGUAUGUUAGUGUAUCCAAUAAGAAAAACAAAUUAUUUUAUCUAAGGUCUCAUGAAAAAAAAAAAAAAAAGUCUUUGGGGGGGAAAAAAGAUGUAAGAUUAUUCUAAAUAAGAGUCAAGAGGGGCACCUGGGUGGCUCAGUCGGUUAAGUGUCCGACUUCAGCUCAGGUCAUGA